AAAACACAACAGAAAAUGAAUGAGAAAGAUAUCUAUAGAGUUAUAAG
rnacentral:guide_RNA from 1 species